UACGAAGGGGGCUAGCGUUGCUCGGAUUGACUGGGCGUAAAGGGCGCGUAGGCGGUUCGUACAGUCAGACGUGAAAUCCUGGGCUCAACCUGGGGGCUGCGUUUGAUACGUGCGGACUUGAGUGCGGAAGAGGGUCGUGGAAUUCCCAGUGUAGAGGUGAAAUUCGUAGAUAUUGGGAAGAACACCGGUGGCGAAGGCGGCGACCUGGUCCGAUCUGACGCUGAGGCGCGAAAGCGUGGGGAGCAAACAGG
rnacentral:rRNA from 1 species